UUCUUAACAAAGAAAAAAGAAAACCAUCGAGCCCUAACCCUCGUUCUCUUCACGCGUGACCCUUCCAUGGAGCCUUCUUUCUAAUCCAUUUCCCAACCUAUCCAUGGAGCCUAACCCUCUCUCCUAGCCACGCACUUUCCUCCCCUCACGAACGACGCCACCCUGACCAGCAACUGUCACCGCACACCAGCCUCAGAGACACCUCGACCCUCAGCGGAACUCCUUGGUUGAUGAUGGACGAGUGACGACUGAUCCUCAGAGAUACCAACUUCUCUGUGACUACUGAUGCUUUUCUGCUCAGUCUGGUCACCUUCUUCAUCCCUGUUAGCUUUACUACUUCUUCUCUACUCUCUUCUUCGAACGUUCUCUUCUUCUCUUCUCAGCUACUUGGAACUUCUCGCAAAUGCCUUGGACUGUGAAAAUUGGUCACUGGUUUAAUUCCUCAUGUCAUCUUCUUACAGUGGAUAUGGCACCUCCAGCUUGCAACAAGUAAAAAAGUUCACAAAUGUUCCAGAAACAAUUAUGUAUGAUCUAAGGGAAGGAAGUUUAAAAGGGCUAGAGGAAGGAGGAACAACAAAGGAAAUAGAAUUUAAGUUGUAUUGUUUUUGUAUUUUUUUUCAGUUUUUAGUUUUGGAAUUCGAACUCGUGAUUUAUUUUCUAU